GGUUAAGCGACUAAGCGUACACGGUGGAUGCCCUGGCAGUCAGAGGCGAUGAAGGGCGUGCUAAUCUGCGAUAAGCGCCGGUAAGGUGAUAUGAACCGUUAUAACCGGCGAUACCCGAAUGGGGAAACCCAGUGUGACUCGUCACACUAUCAUUAACUGAAUCCAUAGGUUAAUGAGGCGAACCGGGGGAACUGAAACAUCUAAGUACCCCGAGGAAAAGAAAUCAACCGAGAUUCCCCCAGUAGCGGCGAGCGAACGGGGAGGAGCCCAGAGCCUGAAUCAGCAUGUGUGUUAGUGGAAGCGUCUGGAAAGACGCGCGAUACAGGGUGACAGCCCCGUACACAAAAGCGUAUGUGCUGUGAGCUCGAUGAGUAGGGCGGGACACGUGGUAUCCUGUCUGAAUAUGGGGGGACCAUCCUCCAAGGCUAAAUACUCCUGACUGACCGAUAGUGAACCAGUACCGUGAGGGAAAGGCGAAAAGAACCCCGGCGAGGGGAGUGAAAAAGAACCUGAAACCGUGUACGUACAAGCAGUGGGAGCACAGGUUUACCUGUGUGACUGCGUACCUUUUGUAUAAUGGGUCAGCGACUUAUAUUCUGUAGCAAGGUUAACCGAAUAGGGGAGCCGGAGGGAAACCGAGUCUUAAUUGGGCGUUAAGUUGCAGGGUAUAGACCCGAAACCCGGUGAUCUAGCCAUGGGCAGGUUGAAGGUUGGGUAACACUAACUGGAGGACCGAACCGACUAAUGUUGAAAAAUUAGCGGAUGACCUGUGGCUGGGGGUGAAAGGCCAAUCAAACCGGGAGAUAGCUGGUUCUCCCCGAAAGCUAUUUAGGUAGCGCCUCGUGAAUUCAUCUCCGGGGGUAGAGCACUGUUUCGGCUAGGGGGUCAUCCCGACUUACCAACCCGAUGCAAACUGCGAAUACCGGAGAAUGUUAUCACGGGAGACACACGGCGGGUGCUAACGUCCGUCGUGAAGAGGGAAACAACCCAGACCGCCAGCUAAGGUCCCAAAGUCAUGGUUAAGUGGGAAACGAUGUGGGAAGGCCCAGACAGCCAGGAUGUUGGCUUAGAAGCAGCCAUCAUUUAAAGAAAGCGUAAUAGCUCACUGGUCGAGUCGGCCUGCGCGGAAGAUGUAACGGGGCUAAACCAUGCACCGAAGCUGCGGCAGCGACACUCAGGUGUUGUUGGGUAGGGGAGCGUUCUGUAAGCCUGCGAAGGUGGCCUGUGAGGGUUGCUGGAGGUAUCAGAAGUGCGAAUGCUGACUAUAAGUAACGAUAAAGCGGGUAGAAAACGCCCGCUCGCCGGAAGACCGAAGGGUUCCUGUCCAACGUUAAGUCGGGCAGGGUGAGUCGACCCUAAGGCGAGGCCGAAAGGCGUAGUCGA
rnacentral:rRNA from 1 species